GGUCUCGUAGCUCAGUUGGUAGAGCACCACCUUGACAUGGUGAUGGUCGUUGGUUCAAGUCCAAUCGAGGCCACCA
rnacentral:tRNA from 1 species